rnacentral:rRNA from 1 species
AUUGAACGCUGGCGGCAGGCCUAACACAUGCAAGUCGAGCGAGCGGCGGACGGGUGAGUAAUGUAUGGGGACUGCCCGAUAGAGGGGGAUAACUACUGGAAACGGUGGCUAAUACCGCAUACUAUCGGAUAACCCAUAUGGGAUUAGCUAGUAGGGGGGGUAAAGGCUCACCUAGGCGACGAUCUCUAGCUGGUCUGAGCGGAUGAUCAGCCAAACUGGGACGUAGACACGGCCCAGACUCCGACGGAGGCAGCAUUGGUGAAUAGUGCACAAUGGGCGCAAUCCUGAUGCAGCCAUGCCGCGUGUAUGAAGAAGUCCGUAGGGUUGUAAAGUACUUUCAGCGGGGAGUCGUUACCCGCAGAAGAAGCACCGGCUAACUCCGUGCCAGCCGCCGCGGUAAUAC